UUGCAAUUGGAUAUGAUAUCGUUUAUCGUUAAUAUCGUUCAAUUUGAUCUACUCCAUGUCCUGAAACACAUCCCCUCUCCCGCUUUCACUUCUAAUUCUAACAGAGAGAGCGAUUCGUUUGUGAAUGAAUCUUCGUUAUGAACGAUUCCUGUGAACCAUCGAUAUCCCUGCAUCUCAAUGUGCACAUCGAUAUCAGAUAUUAACACUUCCAGAUUUAAAAAGAGUACCCCAAUAAUGACAAAUGAGAGAGUCCAUUAAAUAGCAUAAUCUAUUAUCAGUGGCCGAUAAUUUCGGUGCAUCUCUAAUACCAAAACACUUCUAGAUUUUCAUUGUUGCACAUUUCUGCUGUAUGACUGGCUCUUAGAUCAUUAUAGAGUAAAAAAAUUGCAGAGCUUAUCAUUGUUGUUGACAUAAAAUUAUUGCAAUUUGAUAUCGUUUAUCGUUAAUAUCGUUCAAUUUGAUCUACUCCAUGUCCUAAACACAUCCCCUCUCCCGAUUUCACUUCUAAUUUUACCAGCGAGAGCGAUUCGUUUGUGAAUGAAUCUUCGUUAUGAACGAUUCCUGUGAACCAUCGAUUUCCCUGUUUCUCAAUGUGCACAUCGAUAUCAGAUAUUAUCGCUUCCAGAUUUAAAGGAGUAUCCCAAUAAUGACAAAUGAGAGAGUCCAUUAAAUAGCAUAAUUUAUUAUCAGUGGCCGAUAAUUUCGGUGCAUCUCUAAUACCAAAACACUUUUAGAUUUUCAUUGUUGCACAUUUCUGCUGUAUGACUGGCUCUUAGAUCAUUAUAGAGUAAAAAAGUCCAGAGCUUAUCAUUGUUAUUGACUUAAAUUUGAUGCGAUACGAUCGCGUUUCUCAGCCCAGUCUUGAUGUUGAGAACCAAUAUAUCCGUCCUUUACUUUUAAAGAAGAGAAGAAAAGACACAUGGAGACCGGAUGCUGACGAAAGUAAUGACAGAUUUAAUAUUCCUUAACACUAUUCUUUGACAGAUUCGUCAUGUUUUUUUCACCCUCCAUCUUUCUUUCGCCACAAUAAUCCCACAAAAUGAUGAAAAGAGAAGUCAUCAGGGAGGAAAAGGAGUUCAGGAAAGGGGGAACAAGCCGAGUCAUAACCACACAAAGGGAAAGAGACGAAUCAAACAACGAGAAAAGGAAGAAACACAGAGUCGUGUGCGUUGGUGGAACGUUGCUACACAAAUUGUGUUGAUGUCGAUAUCACAGAGCGCUGGGGUUUCUGAAGUUGUGCCCGGCGAAUCGAGCCUGAUCGGCCAGUUCCUCUUCAAUCCUGGAAGGCAGAGAAAACAGACGGAGAUGGACGUGGAUUAAUUAUAUGGGACGUGACAGAGAAAGAGCUGGAAGUCUCUAAUCAACAGCGCUCAUCAAUGUAAUUAUUGCUUCUUUUUACGGACGCUGCUGUUUUACAGAUGGUCUAAGUGCAACAGUCAUUGUGCGAGUCAUGUUCUGUUAAAAGACUGACGCGCCAUUAAAACCAAAGGCUUUUACAUUUUAAGUACACAUGAAAUCAAAACUAACCAUAUUGGUUUUCUUAACUCACAUUGCUAGUUCUGUGGUGAACAAUUCAUCUGUGCAGGUCAUUAGGGGGGGGG
ensembl:antisense